rnacentral:rRNA from 1 species
UACGUAGGGUGCAAGCGUUGUCCGGAAUUAUUGGGCGUAAAGGGCGCGUAGGCGGCUGUACAAGUCAAAGGUGAAAUCCCUCGGCUCAACUGAGGAACUGCCUUUGAAACUGUACGGCUUGAGGCCGGGAGGGGUAGCGGAAUUCCCAGUGUAGCGGUGAAAUGCGUAGAUACUGGGAGGAACACCAGUGGCGAAGGCGGCUACCUGGACCGGUUCUGACGCUGAGGCGCGAAAGCGUGGGUAGCAAACAGG